rnacentral:rRNA from 1 species
GAUGAACGCUGGCGGCGUGCCUAAUACAUGCAAGCCGAGCGAACGGACGAGAAGCUUGCUUCUCUGAUGUUAGCGGCGGACGGGUGAGUAACACGUGGAUAACCUACCUAUAAGACUGGGAUAACUUCGGGAAACCGGAGCUAAUACCGGAUAAUAUUUUGAACCGCAUGGUUCAAAAGUGAAAGACGGUCUUGCUGUCACUUAUAGAUGGAUCCGCGCUGCAUUAGCUAGUUGGUAAGGUAACGGCUUACCAAGGCAACGAUGCAUAGCCGACCUGAGAGGGUGAUCGGCCACACUAGAACUGAGACACGGUCCAGACUCCUACGGGAGGCAGCAGUAGGGAAUCUUCCGCAACGGGCGAAAGCCUGACGGAGCAACGCCGCGUGAGUGAUGAAGGUCUUCGGAUCGUAAAACUCUGUUAUUAGGGAAGAACAUAUGUGUAAGUAACUGUGCACAUCUUGACGGUACCUAAUCAGAAAGCCACGGCUAACUACGUG